GUGCUUGGUGUUGGACGGCUUGGUCGCGUCACCGCGACUCCUCCUAAAGACAAUGACGGCGGCCUGUGGUUCCCCCGGUACACUGAGCUUUUAGUUGAGCACGUAUUGGAUAAGGGCACCCGGGACCCGGUCUUCUCCCUUCACCGGGAAAUUUUUCAAUGGUUGACCUCGGAUCAGGUAGGAAUACGCGCUGAACUUAA
rnacentral:misc_RNA from 1 species